rnacentral:rRNA from 1 species
GACGGAGGAUGCAAGCGUUGUCCGGAAUCACUGGGCGUAAAGGGCGCGUAGGCGGCCUGAUAAGUCGGGGGGUGAAAUUCUGCGGCUUAACCGCAGGACGGCCUUCGAGACUGUCGGGCUUGAGCACGGUAGAGGCUGGUGGAAUUCCCGGUGUAGCGGUGGAAUGCGUAGAGAUCGGGAAGAACAUCGGUGGCGAAGGCGGCCAGCUGGGCCGUUGCUGACGCUGAGGCGCGACAGCGUGGGGGAGCAAACAGG